AAUUGAUAAGCGCUGAAAGCAUCUAAGCGCGAAGCGAGCCCUGAGAUGAGUCUUCCCUGAUACUUUAAGUAUCCUAAAGGGUUGUUCGAGACUAGAACGUUGAUAGGCAGGGUGUGUAAGCGUUGUGAGGCGUUGAGCUAACCUGUACUAAUUGCCCGUGAGGCUUAACCAU
rnacentral:rRNA from 1 species